rnacentral:rRNA from 1 species
GACGAACGCUGGCGGCGUGCUUAACACAUGCAAGUCGAACGGAAAGGCCCGGCUUUUGUGGGGUGCUCGAUUGGCGAACGGGUGAGUAACACGUGAGUAACCUGCCCUUGACUUUGUGAUAACUUCAGGAAACUGGGGCUAAUACCGGAUAUGAGCUCCUGCUGCAUGGGGGGGGUUGGAAAGUUUCGGCGGUUGGGGAUGGACUCGCGGCUUAUCAGCUUGUUGGUGGGGUAGUGGCUUACCAAGGCUUUGACGGGUAGCCGGCCUGAGAGGGUGACCGGCCACAUUGGGACUGAGAUACGGCCCAGACUCCUACGGGAGGCAGCAGUGGGGAAUCUUGCACAAUGGGCGGAAGCCUGAUGCAGCAACGCCGCGUGCGGGAUGCCGGCCUUCGGGUUGUAAACCGCUUCCGCCUGUGACGAAGCGUGAGUGACGGUAAUGGGUAAAGAAGCACCGGCUAACUACGUG